rnacentral:lncRNA from 1 species
AGGUGUUCUUACUUUUUAGAUUGGAUAGCUCAAAAAAAUCUGCACAUUCAUUUUGCAGAUUGUGAGGUGCAUUAUGAGGAAUGUACUCGGACUCUGCCGAAGAGAAAUCAUGAUUAUUGAGCCAUUUUCCGUAAGAGAAAACGCUUGUUUUGGCUGUAGUUGGAGUUUCCAUUCGCGAUGUUCCACGUCUUGCGCAGUGGCGUGGCGUAAUUUGCGAUGUAUCGAUUGGUCUUCCAGUUAAACCUAUGGAAAAUAAUCGAUGAACAGUGUGUUCGCAACGAACACCUUAAUAAUCGAUUCUUUAACAUGGGUUUAAAUAGAGAAUUAUCGAUAGCCGAUCAUUCACGCCUCGCCAUUGGUCAUGCGUGCAUCUAUCCGUCAAAAUUAGAGCAACAUUCGGAUGCAUCACUCGCGUUCUUAAUUACGCAAACUGGAAGUCCUCGUGCAACCAAUAUCUGCAAGAGAAAAAAAAUACUUUUUUAAGAUCCGUGUUGAUCAAAAUUCAGUCAAAUAAUGAGAGUAAAACGCGAUGAAUAGGCCGUCUAGCAGCAUGCAAUUCCAGUGCAGACGAGAGAUCGUCAGUAUCGUUCUUCAAGUGUGCGGAAUCUGAAGUAUUGGAAUGUUUUUCGAAAAGUGUAGGCCUCAAGGGGCGAAUUCAAAAUGAUGUGCUUUUAUUUGGUGUUGUUAAUAUUUUUGCUCCAUCCUCAAGAGCAGGGCGCUCAUUUUAAGAGACGUCCACCGAAGGAGCGUUACAAGGAGAAUAGUCCCUGCGCAGGCUUCAGAAAUAAAACAAUCAACUGCAAGAGAGACUGCAAAAACCUAGCCACUGAAUUCAGUACGAUGAAAUCUACCUGUCGGAAAGAGAUCAAAAAUACGGUCGCGAACCCAGAUAACUUGUUCACUGGAACGUGUGAGGAGCUAACGGGAGGUGCUUGCAAAUGGGGUAGAUGCUACUGCAGAAGCGAUGAUAAGUCGAUCAAGACCCAACGAUUGUCGUUUUGCAGAGAGCAGGCUAGACUCAUCGCCGACAGUAUUCUUAAUAAUUUCCAAAUUAACAUUUAGAUAAUUGAGGCUCACUUUAUCGGUAUGGUUGUAACUACAAAAAGGAUACGUCAUCAUUCCGGUAUCUUCCAGUGAAAACACUCCGCAAACCAUAUGCCGAACGAUCACAGGAGUAAACAGGCUGCAGGUGCCAACACCACCGUGUUGGAGAGCUCGCCCUUGGGCAGUUAUAAACAUUCCCCGUUUUUCGUUCUCAUACACUCCAUUGCUGUUAAAAGUCAAUAUUUUGUCUCUGUGGGAUUUCUUUGAGCAAACGAUAGAAAUUGAAUCCCUCUAAGCCGUGGUAUUAUUUCCAUCUCCUCCUUCCCACCUUCUUUCAUGGCUUGUUUCACCUGACUUCAACACAAUUUUCGCCUUCAAAAUUUGUGCAGGCAAAGUGAUUUACUUGGGUGUUCAAACAGUCACCUACAACCGUUUUCUACAGUCAUUCUGUCAAUGUAAAAUGUUAAAUUGUUUUAUACUGUGUACACGGUUAUGAACCACGAAAAUACGUUGAUGUGGAAGUUGGUGUUCAAAAAUUUAUAUUUAUAAUUCAUUGUUAUCAAGAGUGCACUACUAAAAAUGUACGUACAAAAUUUUCCAAGUAUAUCUUUUUUAGAGAACAAAGUAGAAUCACCUAAUAUUUUCUGGAAAAUUUGAAAACCUGUCAGGAAAAUCUGUCAUAUCUGAAAUGAACAGUAAAGAGUAUUUCAGUAACUAAGGAACCGAAAGUUUGAUGGUUUAAUUUUUUCAUUUUUUGUGUAAGAAAAAUGAUCACCUGACACAUGCCAUCAGAGUAAUAAAAGAUAAUCUAAAUAAUGUUAUGUAAGACAAUAGAUUUAAGUUCAAUAGAAGUUAUAACACGACAAUAUAUUUCCUUUCUCUUUUUGUUAAGUAAUCCGUAAGACUAUUUCCUUCAUAAAUACAGAAAAUCAGUAAACAGUCUUAUUUUCAGUUUACCAUUUCUAUAAUUAAAAUACUACUUUUUCUAAAUCCAAUCAAAAGAUUUAUUAAAAAAGUUCAUAAUUUGAUAAUAUGAAAAAGGAUUUUGGAAUGCGGCUAUCAAAUUGGCAUCGUG